CCUACGGGCUGCAGCAGUGGGGAAUAUUGCACAAUGGGCGCAAGCCUGAUGCAGCCAUGCCGCGUGUAUGAAGAAGGCCUUCGGGUUGUAAAGUACUUUCAGCGGGGAGGAAGGCGAUAAGGUUAAUAACCUUGUCGAUUGAGGUUACCGCAGAAGAAGCACCGGCUAACUUCGUGCCAGCAGCCGCGGUAAUACGGAGGGUGCAAGCGUUAAUCGGAAUUACUGGGCGUAAAGCGCACGCAGGCGGUCUGUCAAGUCGGAUGUGAAAUCCCCGGGCUCAACCUGGGAACUGCGUUCGAAACUGGCAGGCUAGAGUCUUGUAGAGGGGGGUAGAAUUCCAGGUGUAGCGGUGAAAUGCGUAGAGAUCUGGAGGAAUACCGGUGGCGAAGGCGGCCCCCUGGACAAAGACUGACGCUCAGGUGCGAAAGCGUGGGGAGCAAACAGGAUUAGAUACCCGAGUAGUC
rnacentral:rRNA from 1 species